rnacentral:rRNA from 1 species
AGCAGUGGGGAAUCUUGCGCAAUGGGGAUAAGGCUGAAUCAGCGCCGCCGCGUGUGGGAGGAAGCCCUUCGGGGUGUAAACCACUGUUGUCCGGGACGAUUUUCCCUUUUGGAGGGGAAGGACGGUACCGGGUGAAGAAGCCCCGGCUAACUCCGUGCCAGCAGCCGCGGUAAUACGGAGGGGGCGAGCGUUAUCCGGAUUCACUGGGCGUAAAGGGCGUGUAGGCGGUGUGUCAAGUCAACGGUGAAAGCUCGGGGCUCAACCGGGAGUCGGCCGCCAGACUGGUGCACUGGAGCAGAGUAGAGGCAGGGGGAAUUCCGGGUGUAGCGGUGGAAUGCGUAGAGAUCCGGAAGAACACCGGUGGCGAAGGCGGUUUGCUGGGCAGUAGCUGACGUUGAGGCGCGACAGCAUGGGGAGCAAACAGGAUUAGAUACCCUGGUAGUCCACGCCGUAAACGAUGGGCACUAGAUGNGGGGGGAUCAACCCUCUGAGUGUCGCAGCUAACGCG